rnacentral:lncRNA from 1 species
CUGAAUGCAAAUGCAGCACGGAUGUUAGCAACACAAAACUAGAUCAGUCUGGCAAGAGGAAAGCCAGCCCUGGACUUGCAUCAGCGGUGCUGGUCUGUGGGUUCCAAAUGCGGCAUCGCUGCAGAGCCGGUUAGACAAGGCUCCCUGACCUCCUCUACUUGGCAGGCUUUCCUCUGCAUUUUUGGCUGAGAGACAAACUAUACUUCCCCCCCCCCCCUCCCCAAGCCCUCCAACUGGUCCCAGUAUGUCCUGGUGCAGGUGUGCUGGCGGGCAAGGUGAGGAGAGAUUUCAUCACUCCAGCAUAUGGGCAACGCAGCCCUUCUUGAAGAGCUCCUCAUUCCCAUCCUGGGGCAUCUGAGUUCCUGAAGUGGGCACAGUGUUUACAGAGUCGGCAAUGGGAUGUGCAGCUUCGCAUCAUCUUAAGGCAGAUCAAUGCGUCGCCUGCCUUGCCCUGCUCUCACCAGUAGAGAUGUGGUAGCCCAUUGGUCUUCCUGCUAUUGCUGUGAUAAGAAGCCCCCAAAAUGUUUCUGUUGCAGCCAUCAUGUCAAUGCAGGCCUUGAUGCAAUUGAGCACUGAAGAUACUUGGCCCUCCUUGUAACACAGCUUUACUUUGGUCCUGCGUGGUUUAAGGCACCAGACUCUCACUGGAGUUUACCUAAGGACUUGGGAUCUCACCAUUUUUAGUGGUAUAUGGAUACUUCAAACAAAGCAUCGGAGAAUUUUUAGUGUUCUUACUUAAAGAAAACCUGAGGUCAGAAACCGAGCUUUCUCAGGAAAUCUGUGGUCAGAGCAGGAAAGAGGACCCAGGUGUCCCGAGCUCUUAACGUUCAGCCUUUCCUCUCCUGCCCCCAAGCUGCCUGAGAGCAUGUUUGGAAGGAUGCCUGCUUGCUCAGAUACGGUGCAGACCUUCCUUCUUCUCUCGUCACAGCUGUGAACUUCUAGGAGGUCCUUAUAUGCUCAGCCGGAACACGUCUGAGUACGUAGACGAAACGUCAGGACCAGGACUGAGUGUGUGGCACUGAGAAGAGAAAUCCCAUCUGUGCUGUGGAGCAGGAGCUUGGUUUUGGUUGUGAUUUCUCCCUACCAGCUGGUCUGAGUAAUUACAUAAUGUAUCGAGCCAAGACAUCCUGCUUUAUGCAACAAGUAAAUUCAUUUACAACCAUCUUUUAAAGCAAAGAAGAUAUACGCUGCAUGUCCUCCUUUAACUGCACUACUUUUAAGAGUGCAAUCAACAAGCUAUUCAUUAGCUGGCUAGCAUAACAGUCUCAGAGGAGGCUGUGCCUGUUUUUCUUCUGCCCAGGACCUGCUCUGGUGUCAGGAGGUGAUGCAGUAGGUGCCUGCUGUGGCACAUGACCUUUCCCAAGGUGUGAACAGAGCUUUCUUGGUUGCCUCACACUCCUUACAGGAACCGCGGGGUGAGUGCCUGGGAACAGAUCGCUUUCCUGGUUGCAUCUGUGCUGUUUCUCUCCAUGUGGACUGGGAAAUGUGUAUGGGGCAGGCUCCGUACAGGGGAAUAGCAGGGCAUUGCUGUAGGUACUAACAUUGGCAAUAGGGAAAGCUGGCACUGUAUCACUGCUCUCUUCUUGGAUCCAAGACAAGGUCUCACUGUAAGGUACAAAGGAAUAAGGCCAACCACAGCCACUGUCAGCUCUGCUUCCCCACAGACGUGGUAUGUUAUGAAGACAAAAGCCCGGGAAGCAAGAACUCCACCAGAGAGGGAACAGGUGGAGGAAACGUGAAAUACAUCCCAGCAAAUCCAUUAUGGACAGUAUUAGCACUUCAUCUGCAACGCAUGACAUCGUAUCACUGUUCCAGCUGCCGAAUCUUUGAAGUGCCUUGUGAAACUUGUUCAGAACUCUGCAAGAGGAUUUAGCUGCUGAAGCUCCCCGACCUGUUUCAGCAGGGGGCUGUGGGCAGUUGGCAGUUAUUGGCAGGACGAGGCUGAGGAGCUAAUGCUGGUGCUAGCAGGAAGGAGGCAGGCUGACAUCGUGGGUUAGGACUCCUAGGAAGUAUUAGUAAAGAAUAGCCCAUUUGUCCUUUUCCCUGCAAAACAAAAAGCAAGCAUGCAAAUCAACAUGCACACACACCUGUGGGUGAUUGACGUGUUGGGCUGUUAUUGCCUUAUCCCUUGCACCUGCUUGCAUAGCUGUGACACCCAGAUUUGACUCUUGGGGAUCUCACGUGCUGUGAAGACACAUCUUACGUUGGGUGGUAUCCUCGAAAAUCCCUGUGCUAAGCAGAGCAAGUGCAAAGGUAAUAAGCGGGUGGGGGUGGAAAUGAAGAGGUCAACAAGAAGGGAAGGGAAAAGCUUCUGGAUGCCAUUCAGGAUAAGAUGGCUGGAUAGAGAUGGAAUGGGAAUAUUACAGAGGAACAAGCCAGAUCUAGUACAAGUAGAAGCCUGGUUCUUCUGGGUGGCCAGGUGGGGAUCUAGGUCUGCAGCACAACAGAGAGAGCGGCCAAGUCAAUCUCAGCUUCAACAAGCGUACUGCAAUACCUGAAAGAAAACAUUUAAGAAAAUGUCUACCAUCUAAAUGAAAGCUUGUCUGGGCUAGUUUAAUCUGUAUGGCGGAUGUUUUUUAUGUAUCAUGUGACUUGAUGCUACAGCACUCACUCCGCGUGGUUAUCGCCAGAGCAAUGGCAGCAGCGCGUGCCACAUUUUCUGCCUUUAGAAACACAAAGCCUUGUCUCACAGAAGCUCAGACAUGCCCUGGCUGAUGGGAGCCGCAUCCUUCUGCGUGAUGGUUUAAAAAUAACAUGUGCGCACGCAGAGCAACAAGACAUGCCUUCCCUGUUCCUGCGGCUUCCUGAGAACACAGCCGGAUGUUUUCAGGCCGUGCUAGGGAUGGCCCAGGGAGAGGGGCCAUAGAAGAGUUAGCAGGGAUGGGUCUGAUCACAGGACGUGGAUGGAGAAAUGGCUAACAGAGGAUAACAGAUCUGACUGCAGAUAGCAGUAUCAUAUUAUUGCUCUAUAUACGAUGGUCUGCUGCAGUUUUCUGUGUUGUUGUGCCAGUGCUGAGUGAUUAUAUUGCCAUACACUAAAAAAAGAUGGCAAGAGGCUAUGCUGGUUUGCAACCUGACUCAAUGUUUUUAGAGCCUGACUAAAAGCAGAAGAAAGAAAAAAGAUGGUUGCCUGCAUCUGGAUCAUACAUUGCUUGGGUUACAGCAAACAGGGCUCUUUUGUACUAGAGGAUGCUUGGGGCAGUCUGAGAUUCCAGACAUUGGUGACUUGUCCUUCACGAGCAUCUGUAUCAGAGACCUCAUCUAAUGGUCAUCAUAGACAAACAUUCUCAAUACUCAGUGAGUUAUGCGGUUACACAGAAUUUGUUUCUUAACAAAAACUGCUUUGAGAGGUGCUGUGCUGUAGCGUGUUCCUUCUUGCUUUGUGGGCCUGGUGCAAAUCAUGACCUGCCAUGCUCCCUCCUUGGGACUGUCUUCCACAAUUUGCCCGACUUGAGAGCAAAGAAGGAUGAAGAAGCAUUUCUCCUGGCUCAGCUACACAACUUCUUCUGUAUAUUCAAGUUGGGUAUUAGGAAUGAUUUCUUCUCAGAAAAAGUGGUGAGGCACUGGCACAGACUGCCCAGGGAUGUGGUGGAGUCACCAUCUCUGUGGAAUGAAAAAUCCACCCUGAGCUCUUAUAUACAGAUACUAUCUUUGCUUCAGGAAAUAUCUGGUAUUUCUGGGGAAGUGUGACUACAGGCUUUCCUGGGGUUUAUAUCUUCCUUAGGCAUCUGCUACUGGCUGCUCUCAGAAGGCAGGGUGCCCAGCUAUGGCCCUUGGUCUGUUUUUAAGUGAGACCAGACAGGUUGGCUGCCAUUGUCAGCCUGUUCCUGACAGGUACAACACCCUGCUUCAAAAAUCAUCAUCACCCCCAAGCUCAUUCGCAGUUCCCUGACUGGAUGGAAGCUUUCAAUGCAGAAUUCUGCUCGGUGGUGGUGAGGAAGCCCUGUCCGUGCCAGAAACCUUCAUGUUGGAGAGCGAUGGUUGUUUCUUGGGAAAGGCUUGCAGAGCCACAGGGUGCACUAUUUCUGUGUGGUCCUGAUUCAGCUAACCUGGCCCAUGAUACGUGAAGGAAGCAGUAUACUGCUGUGUUGCUUUCCAUAUGUUAACACAGUUCUGGUGCCUUUUGGUAAUACAAGAAAAAGGCCCCGCCUGUUUUGCUAAGCACUGCACAAAGGUUUCCAGGGCAGUGCCUGGAAAUCUGUUAGAUUCCAGUAAAACCUGUAGGUUGCUCAAAAUGGUGACUUGUUGAUUGUAUCAUCCGUGCUCAAUGUUACCAACACAGAUUUCAAAAUGAGACUGGUGAAGGAAUUCAGAGAACUUCAAAUUGGUCAUCAGACUGUUUUGGCCUUACAUUUGCACUGUGUACAGGGAUGGGAGCAGAUGCAAGAGGAAGCAAUACGCUGGAUUUUGAUGGUUCUGUACAUCAGACAUGUCCAAGAUGGGCAGCGUGUAUCUCAGCUGCUGGUGUCCAUGUCUGGCUCUCAGAAGUGCUGCUGGGUCAAGCUCCAGCCUGUGACCACCCUUCAGAGCCUGCCCAAAAAAUAACCAAGUGCUUUGGGAACGUUUGCAGUGAAGCUUCAUGCUGAAUGGGAAAUAUUAUUUCUUCUCUGUCCCAUGAUAUGUGUAUCAGAGGAGAGUCAGCCAGGCAGGAGCCAUAAAUGUGUAAGCAAUAUUUUUUUCAUUACAAACACUUUUCCCCAGGGAGCAAAAUUAAGGCCCUUGUUUGAAAGAACUGAGACCCUUCCUGAUGAUAUUUGGUUUUGAAUUGUGCUCCAGCCUCUCAAAGCCGCUGCUCAGGACUCUUUACUCCUUACUGGUUCUAUUUUUUUUUCCUUUUCCUGGAGCAGCAAUAGGACAAUGACUCAUUUCAUAGGUAAUCUAGAAAUAACUUCCCUUUUACAAGAAGACAAAUUGCAAGCAAGGAAGACACAAUCUCUUGGGAAGCUGUGUGCCCUUUGGUAUAAAUCCAAUCUCUCCUGGGGCCAUCACAGCUUUGGAUUUGGAGGGGACAGUUUGGUGCAUACAGACACAAACUCAGCGCCGCUAACACAUCCCAACAGCUCCAUCGUUUCCCCUGAGCUUCUGCGGCCACUGUUCUUCACAGGCUCUCAAGACUGAGUUUACACCCUGGUGUGCCUCACCAGUCCCUUGUGUUUGGGACUCCUGAAACAUGGGCUUGGAGAUGAAGGGGGCUGCUCUGCUGCCAAGAGCAGCUCCCAUUGCUGCCCGAGGGGCAGCAGAACUGACAGACCACCACUGGUUUUAGAGCAGCUGCUAGAUAAGGUCCUGCACACGUCAUUCUACCACUCACAAAGCUGUCAAUAUAGCGUGUGUGUGAGGGGCAUUAAGACAGGUGACAUGAUAACCCAUGAACCAAGGCCAGAUUCUGCUGUGUGUGACGUCUGCUGACAGCCUUAACUGGCAGCGAAGCUUCAGGCCAAGUCAUUUAUAUCUGAUUGUCUGGAAAGGUAGAAAAGGUAAAAUUUACUUUGUUUACAGUUUACAGAUGCCCAUCGUCUGCUCAUUGACUCUCAGCAUCCCAAACGCCUCAGAGCUGUUUGUGAGUGCCCACGGAUUGAUGGCUGAAUGACUGAACACGCAGCACCACGAGGGCUGACAGUGCCCCACUCUUGGCACUGACCAACGCAGCUGUACCCAGCUCCAGUGAGUCACCUCACUGUCACCUUGAGGUGGGACAGGCCAUCUUCUGAGGUAUCCUAGCUUAGAAGCUUGGAUAACUGGAGAAGACCAGCUCCUGAAUACCAGUCGGGCAAUGGCAGGAGAUGACUCCCACUCUCAUGAUGGAGAAGACAACUCCCACUCUCUCUGGGAACUUAAAAUGUCCGUAUUGAUUUCUUAACCUGAAAUGUGCUUUGGAAACCCUGUCUGGAGAGCCUGCUUUGUCUCCCUGCACCUAAAUACUUUUGAAGCGUGGUCAGAGAUGCUCCCAACAUGUGCUCUGGAUUCUCUGGUGAGAGACACAGGAGGAAGUUUUGAGGUGGAAGAGCAGCAUCGGUGUCAAUUUGUUUGGAAGGAUUUUUGUGGACUGGACUUCUGUGGCUUUGCUUGCUUCCUGUUACUCUUAUGUUAUCAGCAUGAAAAUAUUAAAUUAGGUGACCAAUGUAGCCAGUAAGGCUGGCCACAGCUAUUAUAUAACGUCUGGUUGCUGUAAACAUCUCCAUGAUCGUUUCUUUGAUUGCAGUGCAAACAUAUCCUGUGCACAAUAUGUGGGUUACCAGGUAGAGUUAUGUCAUGACUCAGGAUGAGCCAAUAUCAUAAGCAAACGUUAAUGAAGGGUGGGAUUUUCAUUAGUUUCCCCGUAUUGACCUAUUUCACUUCCUAUCCAAGGCAGCAGCUGAAAAGAGCUGGCCUAAAUGGAUCAGUGUUCUGCAGCCCAAAAUCGUGAUGCAGGGCUGGAGGGAGCCCCGUUCUACCCAGGGUGGCUGUUCUCAUCUGACAUUAUGACAAAUAGUCCUAGGCUCCUUCUGUAUUAAAAAUAAAAGCCUUGAACUUGCAUAUUUCCUUAUGGAAAAAAAAAAAAAUAGCUAUCUUGGGAUCCUGCUUAUACAACUGGAACAACUUUUGUUCUCCACCCCACCUAAAGACAAGCAAAAGGCUUUUAUGUUCUCUAGGUUAUUAAUGGACGGGGCUUCCUCUGCUGAGAGGAUGUUUGGAGCACUGCUAAAAUCUCUGCUCAGGUCCCUUGAAUCAGGACAAGUGAUCUUACAUCACCUUCCUGAGCUAAUUGCCAGCCUCUAAAAG